rnacentral:rRNA from 1 species
CCCUAUGGGGUGCAGCAGGCGGUUGCGUGUGUUGGAUGUGAAAGCCCGGGGCUCAACCCCGGAAUUGCGUCCAAAACUACGCGACUAGAGUACCGGAGAGGAUAGCGGAAUUCACGGUGUAGCAGUGAAAUGCGUAGAUAUCGUGAAGAACACCAGCGGCGACGGCGGCUAUCUGGAAGGUAACUGACGCUCAGGCACGAAAGCGUGGGGAGCAAAGG